CUUUGGGCAAGUCACUUAACUUCUCUCUCUGGCCUUGGUGUAAAAUGAGAGGUUUAUACUCUACAAUCUCCAGGAUCUCAUCCAAGUCUAAGUCUAUGGUCAGGGAUGGUUGUCUGAAGUGUCAUGAAGCCAAUAACAGAAAAUGAUGUGUGCUGCAGUCUGAGAAUUGCUAAAGCAUUUAAUCAUUACUCACCUGAAUUCAUUCUGCUGAUUCCUGAUACUGACCCCGAAGACUUUCCAGAGAGACUAGAACCAGACCAUGAAUUAGGUGGAAGAAAAUCCUUGCCUGGAUUUGGAAAUCAGUCCUGGUGAGGGAAGGGCUGAAGUCAAGGUCAUCCAAGUCAUCCCAAUCAUCAGAAUCCUUUGUUGACCUGGAAACAGGGCCCCACCUUCUCCUAUUCUUUGGUUUA